rnacentral:rRNA from 1 species
CCUUUCCUCCUCGCUGAAAGUGCUUUACAACCCGAAGGCCUUCUUCACACACGCGGCAUGGCUGCAUCAGGCUUUCGCCCAUUGUGCAAUAUUCCCCACUGCUGCCUCCCGUAGGAGUCUGGGCCGUGUCUCAGUCCCAGUGUGGCUGAUCAUCCUCUCAAACCAGCUAGAGAUCGUCGCCUUGGUAAGCCAUUACCUUACCAACUAGCUAAUCUCACUUGGGCUAAUCAAUGAGCGAGAGGUGCCG